GACGGAGGGUGCAAGCGUUGUUCGGAUUGACUGGGCGUAAAGGGCGUGUAGGCGGCCGGCCAAGUCUGAUGUGAAAGCCCGGGGCUUAGCCCCGGAAGUGCAUUGGAAACUAGCUGGCUUGAGCGCGAGAGAGGAGGGUGGAAUUCCUGGUGUAGCGGUGAAAUGCGUAGAUACCAGGAGGAACACCGGCGGCGAAGGCGGCCCUCUGGCUCGUUGCUGACGCUGAGACGCGAAAGCGUGGGGAGCAAACAGG
rnacentral:rRNA from 1 species